CCAAAGGCUCUUUUCAAAGUCACAAAAGCUCUUUAGAGCUACCCAUACUUUUAUAAAUAAAUUA
rfam:Danio rerio chromosome 8, GRCz11 reference primary assembly.